GCCGAGAAACGUGCGGCGCUGCUCACAAUCUUGGCCAAGCCCGUCAGUCCUUGGGAAGUUUAGCAAAUCUUGUGCACUACUACAGGGCUGACAGGGACACAGACUAUGAACUACAGUUAACGUACA